UCGAGUGGCGAACGGGUGAGUAACGCGUGAGGAACCUGCCUCAAAGAGGGGGACAACAGUUGGAAACGACUGCUAAUACCGCAUAAGCCCACAGCUCGGCAUCGAGCAGAGGGAAAAGGAGCAAUCCGCUUUGAGAUGGCCUCGCGUCCGAUUAGCUAGUUGGUGAGGUAACGGCCCACCAAGGCGACGAUCGGUAGCCGGACUGAGAGGCUGAACGGCCACAUUGGGACUGAGACACGGCCCAGACUCCUACGGGAGGCAGCAGUGGGGAAUAUUGCACAAUGGGGGAAACCCUGAUGCAGCGACGCCGCGUGGAGGAAGAAGGUCUUCGGAUUGUAAACUCCUGUUGUUGAGGAAGAUAAUGACGGUACUCAACAAGGAAGUGACGGCUAACUACGUGCCAGCAGCCGCGGUAAAACGUAGGUCACAAGCGUUGUCCGGAAUUACUGGGUGUAAAGGGAGCGCAGGCGGGAGAACAAGUUGGAAGUGAAAUCCAUGGGCUCAACCCAUGAACUGCUUUCAAAACUGUUUUUCUUGAGUAGUGCAGAGGUAGGCGGAAUUCCCGGUGUAGCGGUGGAAUGCGUAGAUAUCGGGAGGAACACCAGUGGCGAAGGCGGCCUACUGGGCACCAACUGACG
rnacentral:rRNA from 1 species